rnacentral:rRNA from 1 species
UACGGAGGAUGCAAGCGUUAUCCGGAAUGAUUGGGCGUAAAGCGUCCGCAGGUGGCUAUGUAAGUCUGCUGUUAAAGAGUGAGGCUCAACCUCAUAAAAGCAGUGGAAACUACAUGGCUAGAGUGCGUUCGGGGCAGAGGGAAUUCCUGGUGUAGCGGUGAAAUGCGUAGAUAUCGAGAGGAACACCUGCGGCGAAGGCGGGUUGCUGGGCUGAUACUGACGCUGAGGCGCGAAAGCCAGGGGAGCGAACGGG